UCGAACUUAGAAGAUAGCUGGUUAUUUAGGAAAAGGAUAUUAGUCCGACUUUAAAUUAUAUUAUGCCUCAAACAUCCCAACAAAUUUAAAUUUCAUUCAAACAAGGUACAGCCUAUUUGAAACAGGAUACAACCUACAACACAGGGUAAUGUCUUACAACAUUGACUAAGUGGGCCUAAAAGCAGCCAUCUUUUAAAAAGCGUUACAGCUUCAUCACAACACUUACGAAUUCCAAUCAGCACCCAAAACCCAUCACCAAUACUAAAUGACUCCAUAUUAGUAUGGAAAACCUUAUGCUAGAACUAGUAACAAGAACAACAUUCUCCAAAAGUAAGUGUAAGCCGGAAUGAACCCCUCACCGGCAACCACCGCCUAUGACCUCAGAGUAGUAACCACACAAGAAAACCCUACCUACAACGACGUUAACCUUACACUAGGACUUUAAUAGAAAGAUUAAAAAAGGGGGAAGGAACUCGGCAAAUCUUAAUCCCGCCUGUUUACCAAAAAACAUUCGCA
rnacentral:rRNA from 1 species